rnacentral:rRNA from 1 species
GAUGAACGCUGGCGGCGUGCCUAACACAUGCAAGUCGAACGGGAGGGCGGACGGGUGAGUAACACGUGGGCAACCUGGCUCAUAGAGGGGGAUAACAGAGAGAAAUUUCUGCUAAUACCGCAUACUAUGAGAUGGACCCGCGUCUGAUUAGCCAGUUGGCAGGGUAAGAGCCUACCAAAGCGACGAUCAGGAGCCGAUCUUAGAGGAGGAACGGAGACAUUGUGACUGAGACACGGCCCAAACUCCUACGGGAGGCUGCAGUGGGGGAUAUUGCAAAAUGGGGGGAAGUCUGAUGCAGCGAGGCCGCGUGAGGUUAGAAGUUGGUCGGUAUGUAAAGCUCUCUCAGCAGGGAAGCAGUACCUGAAUAAGAAGCCCCGGCUAACUACGUGCCAGCAGCCGCGGUAAUUC